rnacentral:rRNA from 1 species
AACGUACGCUGGCGGCACGCCUAACACAUGCAAGUCGAACGAAGUAGCAAUACUUAGUGGCAGACGGGUGAGUAACAUGUAGGUAUCUGCCCUUUGGCCUGGAAUAACACGAGGAAACUUGUGCUAAUACCGGAUAAGUCUUUACGGAGAAAGCUUUAUGCACCAUUGGAUGAGCCUGCACUUGAUUAGUUGUUGGUGGGGUAAUGGCCUACCAAGACUGUGAUCAAUAGCUGAUUUGAGAGGAUGAUCAGCCACAUUGGGACUGAGACACGGCCCAAACUCCUACGGGAGGCAGCAGUGGGGAAUCUUGCACAAUGGAGGAAACUCUGAUGCAGCGAUGCCGCGUGAGUGAAGAAGGCCCUUGGGUUGUAAAGCUCUUUCGUCGGGGAAGAAAAUGACUGUACCCGAAUAAGAAGGUCCGGCUAACUUCGUG